UAUGUUGUGGACUAAUUGGUAGGUCAUAAAUUUUUGGUAUUUAAAAUUGAGUGUUCGAAUCACUCCUACAUAA
rnacentral:tRNA from 1 species